UGUGGACCAAUGAGCACAACUGCCAGAGGUGGCUAUCAGUACGUCGUGACUUUUACCGAUGACUUGAGUAGAUAUGGAUAUGUCUAUUUGAUGAGGCACAAGUCGAAAACUUUUGAGAAGUUCAAAGAGUUUCAGAACGAGGUUGAUAAUCAGCUCGGCAAGACUAUAAAACUUCUACGAUCAGAUCGUGGAGGUGAGUACAUGAGCCAGGAGUUUGAUGAUCAUCUGAAAAGCCGAGGUAUAGUACCUCAGCUCACACCUCCGGGUACGCCACAGAGAAACGGCGUGACGGAACAGAGGAAUAGGACCUUGUUGGACAUGGUCCGGUCUAUGAUGAGCAAAUCGGAUUUACCCUUGUCAUUCUGGGGAUAUGCUCUAGAAACUGCAGCUUUCACACUUAACAGGGUACCAUCAAAAUUCGUAGACAAGACACCACAU
rnacentral:rRNA from 1 species